rnacentral:rRNA from 1 species
UGGGGAAUAUUGCACAAUGGGCGAAAGCCUGAUGCAGCAAUGCCGCGUGAGUGAUGAAGGUCUUCGGAUUGUAAAGCUCUGUCUUUUGGGACGAUAAUGACGGUACCAAAGGAGGAAGCCACGGCUAACUACGUGCCAGCAGCCGCGGUAAUACGUAGGUGGCGAGCGUUGUCCGGAUUUACUGGGCGUAAAGGGUGCGUAGGCGGAUGUUUAAGUGAGAUGUGAAAUACCCGGGCUUAACUUGGGUGCUGCAUUUCAAACUGGAUAUCUAGAGUGCAGGAGAGGAGAAUGGAAUUCCUAGUGUAGCGGUGAAAUGCGUAGAGAUUAGGAAGAACACCAGUGGCGAAGGCGAUUCUCUGGACUGUAACUGACGCUGAGGCACGAAAGCGUGGGUAGCAAACAGGAUUAGAUACCCUGGUAGUCCACGCCGUAAACGAUGAGUACUAGGUGUAGGAGGUAUCGACCCCUUCUGUGCCGCAGUAAACACAUUAAGUACUCCGCCUGGGAAGUACGAUCGCAAGAUUAAAACUCUAAAGUGAAUUGAC